rnacentral:rRNA from 1 species
GACAGAGGGGGCAAGCGUUGCUCGGAAUUACUGGGCGUAAAGGGCGCGUAGGCGGGAUGGCAAGUCGGUCGUGAAAUACCUCGGCUCAACUGAGGAGCGUCGAUCGAAACUGCCGUUCUUGAGGGUUGCAGAGGAGACUGGAAUUCCCGGUGUAGCGGUGAAAUGUGUAGAGAUCGGGAGGAACACCGGUGGCGAAGGCGGGUCUCUGGACAGUUCCUGACACUGAGACACGAAGGCCAGGGGAGCAAACGGG